GCAGCCAAAGUGGUGUGUUUUCCCUGCGAGAGAACCGAGAUAAGCUAAAAGUUAGAUUUACUCAAUAAAUACAGCGCUAGGAUUGAGAGAAUCUUUUAUUUAUUUAAACUGCUCAGCGCUUGGAACUAAAAAAGCACUUCACCGGCGAACAAGGAGUUUUACUUGCUGACAUAAACGGAUUUUCGCAUUGAGUCAAAGUUGGCGAUGGCGAUCCACACUGGAAUAUUGACCCUAAACAAGUGAUUUGCAAGCAGUGGACAUCAUUUAAUCUGUGAAGUUCCCUUUUCCUGUUGAGCUUUGCACUGAAGCCUUUCUCCAGAGCUGUAGGAGGAGUACUUACUUUUCUAUUCCACGGACUGGAACGGUCACAGCCACAUGUGCAUUUGCAACCUGUGGAACACCAAGGAACAUUGAUUAUACACACAAACACACAUAUGGAAAAAAAGGGGAUACUGAAAUUGUAAUGGAGUCAUACUAUUUUACUAAAUGAAACUGAAUUGUAUUAUAUUGUUGAACUGAUUGAAACCGUGAUUGAAGACUGCUUAUUACUGUAAACUUAAAAUUUAGAAUUGGAUGUUUUAUUUCCUACCUGGGUAGAAGUAGUAGCUUUACUGGCUAAUACAGACACAAAUUUGAAUGGGUUAUUGUAAGUUUUAUUUAUUUGUUUUUUUUUUAUUUACAUACAUGUUUCUUUAUUAAAUGGAAAUUUGCAUAAACUUCCAAACAUA